GUCUCCGCUCGUCGCCCGGCUCGGCGUCGGGAGUGCACUCUGUGUGGCCGCUGCUGCAGUGUUGUUGUGGUUGUGAGAAGGCGGCGGCGGCGGCGGAGUAGCAGCCGGACCAGACGCCCUAGUAGCUCAGUCGCUGCCCUGCGCCGGGCCUGGCAGGGAGCCUGGUGAGAUGGUGGAGGAGGAGGCUGUGCCGUGGCGGGCCUUGCCAUGUCCUGCUGCCUGUCAUCAAGAGUUCAUAUAACUAGACCUGUCUUGGAGCAAUUUUUAUCUUUUGCAAAAUACCUUGAUGGUUUAUCUCAUGGAGUACCUUUGCUGAAGCAGCUUUGUGAUCAUAUUUUGUUUAUUAACCCAGCCAUCUGGAUACAUACACCUGCAAAGGUUCAACUUUCCCUAUAUACAUAUUUGUCUGCUGAAUUUAUUGGAACUGCUACCAUCUACACCACCAUAUGCAGAAUAGGAACAGUUAUUAAAGAUAAUGCACACCUUAAAAUAUUACUACUGGGUUAUUAAUCCUGCUGACAGUAGUGGCAUUACACCUAAAGGAUUAG